rnacentral:misc_RNA from 1 species
GAUUGAAGAGGCAAGAGGAGAAAAAAAGAGAACAUACAUUAUAUCGCUAUCCCUCACUGACACACCUCCUUCUCCAGUCUCCGCAUCCUCUGCGGCCGCCACCCGCCACUCACCAGAACCAUGUUCCGGCAAGCAUCGCGCAUCUUCGCUCGAUCCAUCAAUCAACAGCCAAAGAUGAUGGGUCGAGCCUUCUCGACGGAUGUACCAGCCACACCCACCGUCGAUUCAACCUUCGUAGAAUCAUGGAAGAAGGUGAUACCGAACAUGGAACCGCCCAAAACUCCGUCAGCCUUUAUGAACCCUCGUCCUCCUACUCCAUCAACCAUUCCAUCUAAGCUCACUGUCAAUUUUGUGCUUCCCUAUGCAUCUGAGCUCUCCACCAAGGAGGUUUGAUUUCUUGAAUUUUGACCUUUUAUGGGUCUUUAUUUUAUCUGGGUUUUGCUUGGAUUUAGAGAUUGUGGUAUUUUGUUUGAUGAAGUUCGUUUCUUAUGAUAAAUUUCCAUGUCUGCAUUUGUCUGUAAUGUUGAUCCAUUCUUGACAUUUGAUUGAAGUUAUUAAAUAAGCGGGGAAAUGGUGUGAAUAUUGACUUAUAAUUCAUCUGAUUGGACUUUGGAUUAUAGUUCAGAUUAUUCCUGGUUAUUGCGAUGUACAGUUGAUAUGAACUCAAGUUGAACCAGUGAGGAACGAGCCACUUAGGUAGAACUCACCCCUGAAAACCAGCUUUCCUAGAGGCUUAUUAAGCUCUCACCAAGGAUUCAUGACUUUUUAAUUGUAAUUUCUUCUAGGCUUUGCUUGAAUUUGUAGCUGAAUGAAUUAUAAUGUUUUCAUCUUGUUUCUUGAUUGAUUAUUUUCAUAAUUAAGUUUAAAGUUGAGUUUUAGUUGAAAAAAGAAGGAUUUAUUUUAAGAGUAGUUAUGCUUUAUGGGCAAUUGGGCAUUAAACUGUCUUCUAAUAAUAUGCCUUUUACAUAACUGUUAUGCUUGUUCGAGCAAUGUAAAACCUCUUGUUGGAUCAGCUCUUGAUCAUGAUUUGGUAACUGCAUUAACAAGGACAACAUAAAAUUUCUCAGAAUAUGUGUGUGUACUCUUUUCUUUCAUAUAUUUUACUUGUAGGAUAUAGCAAGGUGUAUCUUCACUAUUAAUAAGAUGAUGUUGAAGGUUUACCUUGUCUAAUGCCUGGAUUUUUUAAAUUCUCUGUACUGUUGAAGGAAGUCUUUUCUCAUUGUUGUUUAGGUGAUGUUGGCUUGUACAAAUGUUGACUUGUGAUGAUGCCAAAUAUUUAGGAUGACGUUGAACAAAGGUGACAGAUUGGCCCACCUAUCUCAUCUCAUGGUCUAAGAUCUUCACGUGCUCAUAAUCCUGUUUUUUUAAUCUUCUUUUUUU